UCAAUUAGGUCAUAGCAUAUUAUCGUGCUGUGAAACCCUAAUUAUUAAACUCAGUUAUGAGAUAUGACUGAGUAGUGACUGUGUAUAUGAAGUUUACUGUGUAUAAGAUGUCGAUAAUUAGGACAAACCCUAAUUAUUACAACCCUAAUCGGUUGAAGUUAGAGAUCGUAAUGACUGUGUUAGAACAUACACAGAUAAUUAGAGAACCCUAAUGGUCAAUUAGAAACCCUAAUUGAUGGCGUUAAGAAACCCUAAUUAGAAAAUCCUAAUUUUCUAUAGAAAACCCUAAUUUAAAAUUAUCGGGUUUAAUUACGAUGUUAAUGUAUAA
rnacentral:lncRNA from 1 species